UGAUGACGACACACACCCUCUGCAAAAUGGCGGCUCGCAGCCUGACCGUCACAGACUUCAGAGAAGGUCUUUAUGGCUCCAGGAGGACUUUAAUCCAGGCGUUGCCUAAUGUUCUACACAUCAGAGGAGCCUUCACUCUACAAGGACGUGUGAGGGCAGCCUCGCUGGACAAAGGCCGGAAGUGGAAGCUGCAGAAGAAGGAACUUUAA
rnacentral:lncRNA from 1 species